ACUACGGGGGGCAGCAGUCGAGAAUCAUUCACAAUGGGGGAAACCCUGAUGGUGCGACGCCGCGUGGGGGAAUGAAGGUCUUCGGAUUGUACACCCCUGUCAUGUGGGAGCAAAUUAAAAAGAUAGUACCACAAGAGGAAGAGACGGCUAACUCUGUGCCCGCAGCCGCGGUAAUACAGAGGUCUCACGCGUUGUUCGGAACCACUGGGCGUAAAGCGUGCGUAGGCUGUUUCGUAAGUCGUGUGUGAAAGGCGCGGGCUCAACCCGCGGACGGCACAUGAUACUGCGAGACGAGAGUAAGGGAGGGGGAACCGGAAUUCUCGGUGUAGCAGUGAAAUGCGUAGAUAUCGGGAGGAACACGCGUGGCGAAGGCGGGUUCCUGGACAUUAACUGACGCUGAGACACGAAGGCCAGGGGAGCGAAAGGGAUUAGAUACCCCUGUAGUC
rnacentral:rRNA from 1 species